rnacentral:piRNA from 1 species
CUUCUGACUUAGUCUGCCCUGUUGC